rnacentral:lncRNA from 1 species
AGUUUUACCAGAGUGGUUCCUUCAAACUGAUUGCACACUACGGCAAAUGUUUCAAUGUCGGUGGCGACUAUGUGGAAAAAUAGUGCAAGGUGUGUAUUUAAUGAUACCAUGGUGUAUUUCUUUCUUGCAAUAAAGUUUACGUGUGAAAAUAAAUGACAAAACUUACUUUCAGAACGUCCCUCGCACUUGAAAUCCUC